GUCCCAGGCGAGCGCCCGCCAGAGUUAAACCAAACUCUUGUUAUUUAACCGGUCGUCUGAGUUAAAAUUUUGAAUAAAUCAAAACUUUCAACAACGGAUCUCUUGGUUCUCGCAUCGAUGAAGAACGCAGCGAA
rnacentral:misc_RNA from 1 species